rnacentral:sRNA from 1 species
GCCGGGCGUUGUGGUGGGCGCCUGUGGUCCCAGCUACUUGGGAGGCGGAGGCAAGAGACUCGCUUGAGCCCAGGAGUUGGAGGUUGCUGUGAGCUGUAAUGCCAUGGCACUCUACCCAGGGGGACAGCUUGAGGCUCUGUCUCAAAAAAAAAAAAAAAAAAAAAAAAGACAGAGUUUCAGUCUGUCACCUGGGUAGACUGCCAUGGCAUCAUAGCUCACAGUAACCUCAAAUUCUUGGGCUCAAGCCAUCCUCUUGCC